rnacentral:rRNA from 1 species
AGCAGCCGCGGUAAUUCCAGCUCCAAUAGCGUAUAUUAAAGUUGUUGCAGUUAAAAAGCUCGUAGUUGAAUUUCGAGAUCAAAUUGUUGGUCGUGCCUCGGUACGUACUGGCAUUAUUGAUUUCUCCCUUCUGAAGAACCACGAUGUCAUUAAUUUGGUGUCGUGGGGAAUCAGGACUGUUACUUUGAAAAAUUGAGUGUUUAAAGCAGGCUCGCGCUUGAAUACAUUAGCAUGGAAUAAUGAAAUAGGACGUUUGAUUCUAUUUUGUUGGUUUCUAGGAUCGACGUAAUGAUUAAUAGGGAUAGUUGGGGGCAUUAGUAUUCAAUUGUCAGAGGUGAAAUUCUUGGAUUUAUUGAAGACUAACUACUGCGAAAGCAUUUGCCAAGGAUGUUUUCAUUAAUCAAGAACGAAAGUUAGGGGAUCGAAGACGA